GACGAACGCUGGCGGCGUGCUUAACACAUGCAAGUCGAACGGAAAGGCCCUGCUUUUGUGGGGUGCUCGAGUGGCGAACGGGUGAGUAACACGUGAGUAACCUGCCCUUGACUUUGGGAUAACUUCAGGAAACUGGGGCUAAUACCGGAUAGGAGCUCCUGCUGCAUGGUGGGGGUUGGAAAGUUUCGGCGGUUGGGGAUGGACUCGCGGCUUAUCAGCUUGUUGGUGGGGUAGUGGCUUACCAAGGCUAUGACGGGUAGCCGGCCUGAGAGGGUGACCGGCCACAUUGGGACUACGAUACGGCCCAGUAUCCUACGGGAGGCAGCGGUGGGGAAUAUUGCACAAUGGGCGGAAGCCUGAUGCAGCAGCGCCGCGUGCGGGAUGACGUCCUUUGGGUUGUAAACCGCUUUCGCCUGUGCCGAAGCGUGAGUGACGGUAAUGGGUAAAGAAGCACCAGCUAACUACGUG
rnacentral:rRNA from 1 species